UGACUUUAACACUUCAUGACUGAGAGCUGCUGCUCAGCGACUUCACCCACAGCAACCAUGAGUUUGAUCAGCGUCUUCAUCUGCACACUGGCCCUCUGCAUUCGAGGAUCCCAAAGUCAGGCCAUUGUGACUCAGAGUCCUGCAGUGAAAUCUGUUUCUCCGGGAGACACACUCACCAUCAGCUGUAAAACUAAUGUUGCUGUCGAUAAUGACUGUGAUGAUGAUUAUGACUGUUUGUCCUGGUAUCAGCAGAAAGCUGGAGAAGCUCCUAAACUCCUUAUCUAUUAUGCUGAUGAAAGAGAAUCAGGUAUUCCUGAACGUUUCAGUGGCAGUGGAUCUGGAACUGAUUUCACUCUGACCAUCAGUGGAGUCCAGACUGAAGAUGCUGGAGAUUAUUACUGUCUAACGGUUCAUUACAACACAUUCAAAUCUUCACCGUUCACUUUCGGUGGAGGAACCAAACUCAUCAUCAAAACCGGUCCCACGGUGAAGCCCUCCGUGUCUCUGCUCCCUCCCUCCUCUCUGCAGCUGUCUGAGGGAUCGGCCUCGCUGCUCUGCCUGCUGUCUGCCUACUCUCCACAGGGGGCGCUGGUGAGCUGGACAGUGGACGGCUCAGAGGUGAAGAACGGGGUUCUGACCAGCGCAGAAGAACACAAGAAGGACGGUUACACACGCAGCAGCACCCUGACCCUCAGCAAAGCACUCUGGGAAAAGGGGGAGGAGUUUGGCUGUACGGUCUCCCAUGAUGGCGUCAAUCAUCCGGUCACGUUCAGAAAGAGCCAGUGUGAAGGCUAACAGCUCCAAGAUAGAAUUUAACACUCAGCUGCUUACACAUCCAUCUACAAUAGAGUUUCAGUUCUACACAAUGCUGACAUUUCUGUCUUUACUCUCUUCACUGUCCUGUUGCUCUUCCUGUAGUUUUGCUCUGCUGAAAUAAAGCUUCAUUUUGGA